CGCGUAGGAAUCUACCCAGUGGUGGGGGACAACAGUCGGAAACGGCUGCUAAUACCGCAUACGCCCUACGGGGGAAAGCGGGGGACCUUCGGGCCUCGCGCCAUUGGAUGAGCCUGCGUAAGAUUAGCUAGUUGGUGGGGUAAAAGCCUACCAAGGCGACGAUCUUUAGCUGGUCUGAGAGGAUGAUCAGCCACACUGGAACUGAGACACGGUCCAGACUCCUACGGGAGGCAGCAGUGGGGAAUAUUGCGCAAUGGGGGAAACCCUGACGCAGCCAUGCCGCGUGUGUGAAGAAGGCCU
rnacentral:rRNA from 1 species